ensembl:lncRNA
GUCACGCAGGGGCAGGGUGGAGCUAAAGGCCCCUGCAGGGUGGAGACUGGCUACGGAAGGAGCCGGGUUUUCUGCAGCCCCUAGGAGGGUGGAGGCCUUGGAAGUGUUCACAGUGGUUCACCGUUUCAGAGACUGAGGCAUGAAGAGUGUGCAGCCCAGUCUGUGUGGUGAGUGUGAGAGUGUGUGUGUGAGAGUCUGUGUAAGUGGCUGGGGGAGUCUGUGUGGUUUUGACUCUGGUAACCUUCAGGUACCUUUGGGGGCUGUGAGUUAUCAGGUAGGGAGCCCCCCCAUUGCAGGACGUAAUCAAGUGGAGACCCAGUGACCUAGGUGGAGAGAUUUUGGCAGAGUUGUUGCAUCCACAGAGGGCCGUACAACAUGAACUCUGAGCUCCCUGUGAAUCCACAGAUUCUUUUUUUGUUGUAUAUCUUAGCUGCAGGUCCUUCUAGUUGUGGGAUAUGGGACGCCGCCUCAACGUGGCCUGACGAGCGGUGCCAUGUCCGCGCCCGGGAUCUGAACCCUGGGCCGCCGCAGCGGAGUGCGUGAACUUAACCACUGGACCACGGAGCCGGCCCCACUGUAGAAAUUUUCAAACAAACACAAACAAAUGCAGAGAGAAGAGGAUGCCGCAUCACCUGGACUCGACACUUUCUAACCUGUCACUGAUCUGUCAUUCUUUCCCCACUUUGAUACUUGGAAGGGCAAUAAUCGGAUUCUUGCAUUAUUUUGUUCAAAAUAUCAAUUUCACUUAAAACACCAUUUAAAAGUAGAUGAUUCUCAAAGUGUAGCUUUGGCUUAUGUUCUAAGAUGCAAAUCUCUGUGAAUAUCUCGAACAGUUUCUAAGAGGUGUCACCCAUUUAGUGCUAUGUUGCCAUCAGAUCCGCUUUCUCUUUGUAUAUUGAAUAGUUUCAGACUUAUUUCUCAUAUAUGUGUUUUCAAUACAUCCCAACAUUUAUUAGAAGCCAAAGAGUAGUUGGAGAGAUAUUUAAAAAUUCAGUGGCAUAUGAAGAAAUUUCUGCUGCAUUAUUUGUUAUCCAGUUUGAAGAAUGUGCAGAACAAGGAUUUGCUUCUCCAGGAGGUGAGAAAGGAGGCUGGUCCAGGAGGUGUCACCUCAUGUCUCUGUCCCAGCGCCAGCCGCCUGCCAGAGCAUCUGUUUCCAUGUCCUCAGCUGCCUGGUGUCUGAGUGUCCACCUGGGUCUAUUAAACGCUUUAGAAUUUUUUCAAGAAUCUUCUAUUGUAUUCCAUAAGCUUCCAUGCACCUUUCCAUUUCUGUGCACAGCUGCAAAUACCUGGCCUCUCAAAUGUUUUUCCAGAUUUGGGUUAUGUAAGCAGUUUACUAAAUGUAUGUAUCAUUUGUCUCCGGUUAUAGCAUCUACUGCACAAAAUUCCCCGAAGUGUUUACCUGUAGGAAUAGGUGCAAUCUGGAAAUCUACCCACAUACCAGUAAUUGUCAACUGACUCGUCAACUGCAAACAGGCUUUGUGACCCAAAUUAUUGAGAAAUAGUCAGUAUUCCUUACCUUAUUCAAAAUAAUCCCAUUAAUCAAACAUGCUAUAAUUGUAACGAUUUGUGUGAUUUUUAAAAUGUCAUCCCCUAAGUAGUGUGUGACAUCACUUGCUGCCAAUCUUUAUGUUCUGCAUAAACGUUCUUCCGUCCG